CUACGGGGUGCUGCAGUGAGGAAUAUUGCACAAUGGGGGGAACCCUGAUGCAGCAACGCCACGUGGAGGAUGACGCAUUUCGGUGUGUAAACUCCUUUUAUAUGUCAAGAAAAUGACGGUAGCAUAUGAAUAAGCACCGGCUAACGUCCGUGCCAGCAGCCGCGGUAAUACGGUGGGUGCAAGCGUUACUCGGAAUCACUGGGCGUAAAGGACGCGUAGGCGGGUUGGAAAGUCAGGUGUGAAAUCCUACAGCUUAACUGUAGAACUGCACUUGAAACUUCUAAUCUAGAGUAUGGGAGGGGGAGAUGGAAUUAGUGGUGUAGGGGUAAAAUCCGUAGAUAUCACUAGGAAUACCUAAAGCGAAGGCGAUCUCCUGGAACAUUACUGACGCUAAGGCGUGAAAGCGUGGGGAGCAAACAGGAUUAGAUACCCUCGUAGUC
rnacentral:rRNA from 1 species